UAAAUCACUUAGCUGAGUGAUUCUUCUAAGGAUGACUAUUACAUUAAGACAAAUGGAUCUAUUCUUAGGUCUGUUAAGUAUAGUAUGUAAAUGGCCUGAACAUUUGAUCAAAUGAAAUGGCUAAUCCGCUAAGUGUCCAUUGAGAGACUGUUGCAAGAAUAAUUACAGUACCUGGUCCUAUUCAUAUGCAUUUCUGAUCCUUUUUGAAAUCUUAUGAAGUUAUUAGGAUCAACAAUACAUUGCAACUGAAGUUGUCUAAGGUUUGAUAGACAAUUGCUUUAAAAUACUGCCCAGGACACACACACGCACACACACCAAAAAACAAGUAAAUUUACUUUCAAAGUGCUUUCUGCAUUUGAAGCAUUUAUCACGGAUGUUUGCCUGAGUUCUUGAUGUAGGUUCAUAGCUUAAAACUCUGAGGUUACAUUAGUUUAGCACAGCCAGGUGGGCUCACCUCCACCUCUAAAUAUUAAGAAAAUAUGAAUUAGGAAUGAUGCAACAGGAAAAGUCUAAUCAGAAUAAAUGACCCCCCCUGACCAUCUCUCCUGAUAGUUAAAAAAAAAAAAAAAAGCCCACAAAAUGACAAUUCUGCUGACUAAAGGAAUAAACCUGGAGCAGGAAGGGUGGAAAAGCGAGG
rnacentral:lncRNA from 1 species